GUCUCAAAGAUUAAGCCAUGCAUGUCUCAGUAUAAGUUUUAACAUAACGAAACUGCGAAUGGCUCAUUAAAACAGUUAUAGUUUACUUGAUAGUCAAUCGUUAUACGGAUAACUGCGGUAAUUCUGGAGCUAAUACGUGCACAAAGACCUGACUUCUAGGAAAGGUCGUGUUUAUUAGAUACAGAACCAAUCCCUUUUGGGUUUUUGGAUGAUUCAUAAUAAAGGAACGGAGCGCAUGACUUGUGUCGGCGCUGUUUCAUUCAAGUUUCUGACCUAUCAGCUUCCGACGGUAGGGUAUUGGCCUACCGUGGCAUUGACGGGUAACGGAGAAUUAGGGUUCGAUUCCGGAGAGGGAGCCUUAAAAACGGCUACCACAUCUAAGGAAGGCAGCAGGCGCGCAAAUUACCCAAUCCUGAUACAGGGAGGUAGUGACAAGAAAUAACACAGAGAGUGCUUUUUGCAUUUCUCUUUGGAAUGAGUAGAAUUUAAAUCUCUUUUCGACUAUCAAUUGGAGGGCAAGUCUGGUG
rnacentral:rRNA from 1 species